UGGAACUGCUCAUCUCACUCCUCUUUGUGUGCGCGCUGAUCUCCAAAGCAUUACCUGAUGGAUCUCCAAAUGGGAAGCAGUGCUUUACCUGUCAAGGAACUGACUGCACACAUACUUUGAAAUGUCUGGGAUCAGAAGAUCGCUGCAUUAAGGCUUCAGUGAAAUCUGAUGGGCAGACAGUGACAGUGAAGGGAUGCGCAUCCCAAACCGUGUGUGCCGGG